AUUGAACGCUGGCGGCAUGCCUUACACAUGCAAGUCGAACGGUAACGGGCCUUCGGGUGCCGACGAGUGGCGAACGGGUGAGUAAUACAUCGGAACGUGCCCGAUCGUGGGGGAUAACGAGGCGAAAGCUUUGCUAAUACCGCAUACGAUCUACGGAUGAAAACCGGGGACCGCAAGGCCUUGCGCGGACGGAGCGGCCGAUGGCAGAUUAGGUAGUUGGUGGGAUAAAGCUUACCAAGCCGACGAUCUGUAGCUGGUCUGAGAGGAUGAUCAGCCACACUGGGACUGAGACACGGCCCAGACUCCUACGGGAGGCAGCAGUGGGGAAUUUUAGACAAUGGGCGCAAGCCUGAUCCAGCCAUGCCGCGUGCAGGAUGAAGGCCUUCGGGUUGUAAACUGCUUUUGUACGGAGCGAAAAGCCUUCUUUUAAUACAGGAGGGUCAUGACGGUACCGGAAGAAUAAGCACCGGCUAACUACGUG
rnacentral:rRNA from 1 species